GUGAUGGCUUCAGCAGCACAUAUUCUGCAAUGGGAACAGUACAGAGAGGAUUCACAUGACCCCUGCACAAGGAUGCACACGAACUCUUGAAGCGUUUUAAAAUAAA